CCCGGUGAUCUAGCCAUGGGCAGGUUGAAGGUUGGGUAACACUAACUGGAGGACCGAACCGACUAAUGUUGAAAAAUUAGCGGAUGACCUGUGGCUGGGGGUGAAAGGCCAAUCAAACCGGGAGAUAGCUGGUUCUCCCCGAAAGCUAUUUAGGUAGCGCCUCGUGAAUUCAUCUCCGGGGGUAGAGCACUGUUUCGGCUAGGGGGCCAUCCCGGCUUACCAACCCGAUGCAAACUGCGAAUACCGGAGAAUGUUAUCACGGGAGACACACGGCGGGUGCUAACGUCCGUCGUGAAGAGGGAAACAACCCAGACCGCCAGCUAAGGUCCCAAAGUCAUGGUUAAGUGGGAAACGAUGUGGGAAGGCCCAGACAGCCAGGAUGUUGGCUUAGAAGCAGCCAUCAUUUAAAGAAAGCGUAAUAGCUCACUGGUCGAGUCGGCCUGCGCGGAAGAUGUAACGGGGCUAAACCAUGCACCGAAGCUGCGGCAGCGACACUGUGUGUUGUUGGGUAGGGGAGCGUUCUGUAAGCCUGUGAAGGUGUGUCGUGAGGCAUGCUGGAGGUAUCAGAAGUGCGAAUGCUGACAUAAGUAACGAUAAAGCGGGUGAAAAGCCCGCUCGCCGGAAGACCAAGGGUUCCUGUCCAACGUUAAUCGGGGCAGGGUGAGUCGACCCCUAAGGCGAGGCCGAAAGGCGUAGUCGAUGGGAAACGGGUUAAUAUUCCCGUACUUGGUGUUACUGCGAAGGGGGGACGGAGAAGGCUAUGUUGGCCGGGCGACGGUUGUCCCGGUUUAAGCGUGUAGGUGUGUGUUCCAGGUAAAUCCGGUUCACUUUAACACUGAGGCGUGACGACGAGGCACUACGGUGCUGAAGCAACAAAUGCCCUGCUUCCAGGAAAA
rnacentral:rRNA from 1 species